rnacentral:lncRNA from 1 species
UUGAGGUUGGAUGUGAGGGGGAAGUUGUUUGCUAUGAGAGUGGGGAGGUGCUGGAACAGCUGCCCAGAGAGGCUGUGGAUGCCCCGUCCAUCCGUGGAGGUGUUGAAGGCCAGGUUGGAUGGGGCCCUGGGCAGCCUGGGCUGGUCUGAAAUGGGGAGGUUGGUGGCCCUGCCUGUGGUGGGGGGUUGGAGCUCCAUGAUCC